rnacentral:rRNA from 1 species
GACGAACGCUGGCGGCGUGCUUAACACAUACAAGUCGAACGGAAAGGCCCUGCUCUUGUGGGGUGCUCGAGUGGCGAACGGGUGAGUAACACGUGAGUAACCUGCCCUUGACUUUGGGAUAACUUCAGGAAACUGGGGCUAAUAUCGGAUAGGAGCUCCUGCUGCAUGGUGGGGGUUGGAAAGUUUCGGCGGUUGGGGAUGGACUCGCGGCUUAUCAGCUUGUUGGUGGGGUAGUGGCUUACCAAGGCUUUGACGGGUAGCCGGCCUGAGAGGGUGACCGGCCACAUUGGGACUGAGAUACGGCCCAGACUCCUACGGGAGGCAGCAGUGGGGAAUAUUGCACAAUGGGCGGAAGCCUGAUGCAGCAACGCCGCGUGCGGGAUGACGGCCUUCGGGUUGUAAACCGCUUUCGCCUGUGACGAAGCGUGAGUGACGGUAAUGGGUAAAGAAGCACCGGCUAACUACGUG